rnacentral:rRNA from 1 species
CCCUUAGAUGUUCUGGGCUGCACGCGCGCUACACUGAUGCGUUCAACGAGUUUAUGACCUUGCCCGAUAGGGUUGGGUAAUCUUUUUAAAUCGCAUCGUGAUGGGGAUAGAUUAUUGCAAUUAUUAAUCUUCAACGAGGAAUUCCUAGUAAGCGCGAGUCAUCAGCUCGUGCUGAUUACGUCCCUGCCCUUUGUACACACCGCCCGUCGCACCUACCGAUUGAAUGGUCCGGUGAAAUCCUCGGAUCGAGCCGUGGGGCAACUCCGGUUCGAGAAGUUGAUUAAACCUUACCAUUUAGAGGAAGGUGAAGUCGUANCA